rnacentral:rRNA from 1 species
UGAGUUUGAUUCUGGCUCAGAACGAACGCUGGCGGCAGGCCUCAUACAUGCAAGUCGAGCGGUCCUUCGGGACAGCGGCGAACGGGUUAGUAACGCGUGGGAACGUGCCCUUUAGUACGGAAUAGCCAUUGGAAACGAUGAUUAAUACCGUAUACGCCCCAAGGGGGAAAGAUUUAUCGCUAAAGGAUCGGCCCGCGUUAGAUUAGGUAGUUGGUAGGGUAAUGGCCUACCAAGCCGACGAUCUAUAGCUGGUUUGAGAGGAUGAUCAGCAACACUGGGACUGAGACACGGCCCAGACUUCUACGGAAGGCAGCAGUAGGGAAUCUUGGACAAUGGGCGAAAGCCUGAUCCAGCCAUGCCGCGUGAGUGAUGAAGGCCCUAGGGUUGUAAGGCUCUUUCGCCAGGGAAGAUAAUGACGGUACCUGGUAAAGAAACCCCGGCUAACUCCGUGCCAGCAGCCGCGGUAAUACGGAGGGGGUUAGCGUUGUUCGGAAUUACUGGGCGUAAAGCGCACGUAGGCGGAUUAAUAAGUCAGGGGUGAAAUCCCGAGGCUCAACCUCGGAACUGCCUUUGAUACUGUUAAUCUUGAGUUCG